UCACCCUGGAAUAUUUAAUAAUUUAGGGUAUUAUAUCUAAGUCUGGGGUGCUGAUAUUCUUGGGAAAUAGUAAAUGAUCGCUUAAAUUAGCAAUCCCAAAGAAUGUACCUGGCAAGUCAGCACCUGCCCUUGACUGUAUCAGUUUUGUGUUGCAGGGGAAACCAGGUUGCAUUCGUACCCUCUGAAUAUAGAGUUUUGGGGCCAUGGAGAGGAGAAAGGACUGAGCCUGACAGAUGCAAGCUGUGAAGUGGGGAUAGACUUCAGUGGCCACUGCUGCUCACAGACUGGAUGGGGUCCGAUGCCCUCAGCAGGACCUGGAAGGCUUUUCCAAUCUCAGCCACAGUCUUCUCUCACACAGUGGAGCCCUUCUAGCUAAAAUCCUCCAUCCAAGCACCACAGUGAUGUGCCAAAGUACUAUGAUGACUUCACACCUCAGCUAAUUCACAUCUGCAAGGGGGAGAAAACAAUUUGCAACUGAAUCCAGCCUCACUAAUGCCAGCCUAAAAAUUCCUGUUGCUUAUCAGCCACUCCGGAGACUGCAGGGUGCCCCAGGCAAGCCACACCAUCUGGAUUACGUAGUGCCCUUUGGACUCCAUCAUACUGACAAGUGAUGGUGAUGCAGGCUUUAUCACCCCUGUGCACAAAUGCUGGCAACGUGAAGGCAUCCCCCGAAGAUUUCUUGUAGAGGAUGUGGCUAUAUCCACCUGUAUCCCAGCCACCUUCAGAACUGAAGCAUUUCUUUUCCUUGUUGGAUGUCUCUAAGAAGAUGGCCUUUGCCAAAGUCACACCUUUAUGGGGAGUCUCCUCAUUCAAUGACUAAUCAGCUACUGAUGGCAUCUUGUGACAAUAUAGCAUGAGGGAAGUGAACGAGAAGGGGGUGCCCAGUCCUGAAUGAAGCAAGCCAGAAGAUGACAGAGUUGAAAUGGAAUGGGGUAAAUGCUGCCGUAUGGAUGCGCCUUGCAAAUGUUACACUAAUGGAAGGAUGCCUGUCAACAGAGUUUAGGAACUACCUGAUGGCAUUUGUGUGAAACAUGCAGAACAGGAGACAAGAAUCUUCACACAGAGAUAGAAGGUGACUACCUCAGGAUGGGGGGGGA